rnacentral:tRNA from 1 species
GCAUUGGUGGUUCAGUGGUAGAAUUCUCACCUUUCGUGUGGGACACUCAGGUUCGUUUCCUGGCCAACGCG